rnacentral:rRNA from 1 species
GGAGGCAGCAGUGGGGAAUUUUCCGCAAUGGGCGCAAGCCUGACGGAGCAACGCCGCGUGGGGGAGGAAGGUUUUUGGACUGUAAACCCCUUUUCUCAGGGAAGAAGAAAGUGACGGUACCUGAGGAAUAAGCCUCGGCUAAUUCCGUGCCAGCAGCCGCGGUAAUACGGGAGAGGCAAGCGUUAUCCGGAAUUAUUGGGCGUAAAGCGUCCGCAGGCGGUUAAUCAAGUCUGUUGUCAAAGCGUGGGGCUCAACCUCAUACAGGCAAUGGAAACUGAUUGACUAGAGUAUGGUAGGGGUAGCGGGAAUUCCAGGUGUAGCGGUGAAAUGCGUAGAUAUCUGGAAGAACACCAGCGGCGAAAGCGCGCUACUGGGCCAUAACUGACGCUCAUGGACGAAAGCUAGGGGAGCGAAAGGGAUUAGAUACCCCUGUAGUCCUAGCCGUAAACGAUGAACACUAGGUGUG